CUCUCUUUCUCUCUCUUUCGCCCUUCAGCUCGUUAUCUUCGUCUCCCGCGCGGCCGGCACGCGCGUUCCUCUCGCUCGCUCUCGCGCUCCCGAGCUCCCUACUCUCUUCAGGGUGGGGCACCACGUCGCCGUUCGUCCAGCGGCAACAGAGGAUACCCGGUCGAUAGCACGCACCUACACCCACACACAUACACACCCCGGCGGCGGCGGUGUGGCCCGUCGCCGCGAGAACGGGGAAACUCACGCACACGUGCGUACGUGCGUGGGCGCGCGCGCGAGCACCGAUUCGCCCUCGUGAAUUUUCAAACCCCGAAAAUUUCCACCGACGACUGUCCUCUCCUCUCCCUCCCAACCUUCUAUCCCACGCGCUAGACCGCGUCCGGGAUGUUGACCGAAUAGGAGAACGGUAACACGACGGUUAUAAUAUCGAGAAGUAUAUUUACACGCAUCGGUUGAUAUUACGUUGCAAAAUUGGGAUUUAAUACGGUUGAUGCUGCGAGGUGGAAUAACACCGAUAUUUAAUACCAAGUGCGCCUAACAAGCGUACGUUAGCGACAGCUUAAUUUAGCGGUAGGUUUUAUUAAUGAUUUCGCGAUGAUCGAUGCCGAGGCCGCGUCACGACGGAAAAUCUCCGAGAGAACGCGAGAGAAAAUUAAUCAUCCCCGCAAUCGAGAUGUUUUUCGCGUCUCCCCAGGGGAUCCGAGUGUCACGAAAUAAUUGCCGGUACGCUUACAUAAUAAUACAAUUCUGAGACACUUCGUGUUAAUUUAAUGCAAAUUGGUGAUUACUUGGCAAUAACGAAAUAAUCAAAGGCGAACGUUAUUAUUAUGGCGAAAAUAAUUGGGCAUUUGCGAAAGCACGUUUCUAUCGGGGAGAUAAUCCAGGAGAAAUCUGCAGCUCCGUACAAAUCUCGCCGCUUACAAAUAUCUCGAAAUGCAGCAGCGAAAUGUCAGCGGUCGGUAUUUCGGCGAUUUAAACGCGGCUUAAGUCGAGCGCGACGGGCGAAGUCGCGGAAGCAUUUUAGAGCUGCUGCUGCUGUUGCUGCAAUCGUAUUCGUGAAAUCGAUAGCAUCGCUAGAGCGAUUGCUCAUACCACGAUGUUUACGCGUAACUCGAGAGCCUCCGGCGUCAACACGGUCCUUGGACUGACGUAUGUAAAAUUGAAUUUUGCGACAAAACUAACACGAUAAUACGCGUGUCACCUGGAUACUGCCACUCCCAAUAUUUUUUGUUGAUAAAAAAAUACAAUACUUGAAUUACUAAUUAUAUAAAUACUCGAAUCACUAACUAUAAAAGUAAUUUUAAAAACUUUCCACUUCAACCUUCUUGAAUAUAAAGAUCCUGCGGAAAUGGAAUCGAACAAUUUUUUCGGGCUUAAAAAACAAACCGACAAGAUCUAAAAUAAAUUGCUCUUUCAAUAUUGCCAUUAAUUUAUAAAUAAAAAUAAUGAAAAAAAAAUUUCUAUAAAUAAAUACCUUUUAUAUGUUUAAUGAUUUUGCGGUCUUUCACAAAAAUUGUCCAUUGUUCCAUUUAGUAAAUUUGCUAUCGUAUAUUAUAUCUUAAUUAAAAGAUUACUUUGAAAUGUUAAAUGCCUUUUCUUUAAAGUAGUCACAUUCACAAAUUAAAAACUUAUAUUAAAUCAAAAUUUAUUAAAUAGAAUAAUACAUUUUUAUGAAAGUGUACAAUUGUUAGGUGAAGGUGCUGGAUAUGCAUUUGGGACGCAUCAUCCGACUGUUUUCAUGUAUCAUUUUAUCCUUAUUUAACAUUUUUAUUUUCAGAAUUUAAUGAAUAAAUAGCAAUAUUGGAAGAUUAUUUGUUUUAUUCAUUACUUCAGAUUUCGUCGUCUCUUAACAAGUCUGAAAAAAAUCAAAUUCAAUUGCCGGAUCUUGGUAGUCGUCCGGAUAUCCGGACGACUCGGGGCCUCAAGUCCCAACGUGACCACGCGUCACCGACCAGCGGUCCGUGGUGGGUGGUAAAAUUGUCGAUUAUACACCGGAUGAACGGCGAUGGAGGUGUGACAGACCGUAAGAUAUCAUUUCGUUCAAUCAGCUGUACGCCGUGACUUUCGUGCUCCUUCAAGACACGGAAUGCGAUUUUUACCACGUAUGCUUCGUAUUAUUCAUUAUGAUAUUCAAUAUUACAACGUCCCUAUAUAUUUUUAUCAUUUAGAUAUAAAUUUCAGCAUUUCUUUGAUCAGUGACGAUUAAAAACCUAAAGUCGACGCAUAACUUUCGUUCUAUCCAAUCUAAUAGAAAUUGAUAAAAAUCGAGCGCAGUGCAUUUAACAUUGUAAACAUUGAUUUUCGACAUCUCUAUAUACAACAAUUCUGAGUUAAUUUUACAAGUGUAAAAAAUUCUUCAAUGACUCUUAUAUACACUUUAACAUCUCUAGAAAGUAUAAUUGUAGAUUAGAACAAAUUAUAUAAAUGUUAGAAUUAAUUACAAAAAGAAAAUUGUCAAAUUAUGUGUACAGAGUGUCAAUUAAAAAACAUCCCGUUUCAAUUCAAAGUUUUAUCAGAUUAGCUUGUCCAAUUAAAAAUCACUUUAUAAUUAAUAUAUAUUAUUUUCUAUAAUAAUAAGAUUCAUUGCAUAUUAUUCGUCAAAAUAAUAGGUUUAAUAUUAAGGACGCGGUUUGGGCCGACCCGCGAAAUAAUGAACUAAUCCUCUGUCCACUCGUUUGCAGAAACGUUAUUCUGCGGAAUUAUCAUCGUUAUUAUAGCCGGAAGCGAGAGACGGCGAUUCAAAAGACUCGUUACUGCGCCUCGCGACCAUCGCUCCACUGCCUGCCUCUUCAGAGGACGUUCAAAAGACUUGUGGGAAUUAUGAAAGGGCGGCCAAAGUGUCGUCGGUAUGAAGAAAGCAACCGCGAUGUAAAUUUAGCACAACAUGCAAUCUUCCUCGAAAUGUGCGUGUACGAUAACCAUUUGCAGAAAACUCCAAAUCAAUUACGUUUCACGUCUGUGUUUCAGGCGGACGCUGCUAAUUGUUAAAGGCGCAAUUUACGGACUUGGUUCUACACCGAGGAAAAAAACAAGUCAAAGUAAUUAUGAGCAGAUAUUACUUGCGCCGUUUUCCUCAACGUUUAUUGGUCAUAAACAAAACCUGUGUUCAAGGAUUAUUUCAAAUUACUUAUUUCAUUUUUCUUGAAAUCAAAAUUUAUGUCGCCGUAUUUAAACCACGAUUUUGUGAAUUAAAUAUUGUACUACAAAUAAUGUUUAAAUAUACAUUUCCUCAAUGUAAAUUCUUUCUUUUUGAUCCUAUUAGAACUCUCGAACUCGCGCGAGAUUUCAUAAAAGGGCUUUAAUAAAACCGCCAAUAAAUUGAUAAUUUAAUUUAAAAUAAAUGCGCUUGACAAACGUGUCACGCGCAAUCGAGACUACGAUUCGCUCGCAAAGAGAGCUAAUAAGGGGAGAAGAACCCGGAAAUGUAUUUCACGGAUUUAAUUAAUUUUUGCACGGCUAUUCUUCGACGCGAGAGAAAAAGCUCUGAUCUAUAUUGCUCUCGUGGCUUAUUCUUAUUUUUAGAUUCCCACCUCCGCGAAAUUACGCUCGCGCGCGUUAUGUAAUCGCACUUGCGAGCCACCGGCGAGACCCGGCGAAGCGCGAGAAGACGAAGGAGACAAAUCGGUACUUCAACAACGAAGGGAAAAACGAGAGAUGCGCGGAUCGCGCCGUUGUAAACGAUUUACGUGCGCGAGCGAAAAAUUAAUUGCGCGAUCAAUACGAAGCGAAGCGUGAAGGGGUUAAGCUCUCUCUCGAGAAUUUCCAUCUCGGCAGGACGCACGUGAUCUCGCACAUGCAACUCUUCAUAAAUUGGAUUCAGGGUCGCGAGAGAACUCUUCCUCGCGAAAAUCCGCCGUGGAAUUUUCAGUUUCCAGCGCGAGCGAAAUUUGUAAUUUCCCGGAAAUAAAAUUCGAGACGGUUCGUAUCUGUUAAAAACUCGGACACGCGCAUCCUACGUAGAACGGGAGUGACAUUAGAGACAUUCGUAAAUUAACGUGUAAUUUUUGGUAAGCUUUAGAGAUAGACGAUGGUGUCAGGGGAUUUUUGAAGAUUCGGAAUUAUUGAUGAAUUAAUGUUUCGAAUGGAAAUUUCAGUUCGGCGCAAGAUCUGGCCGACUGCGAACUCGCUAGUGACAUAAACUCGCCCUUCAGGAAGGAAGGAGGAAUCUCCUCUCUCUCCCGGGGAAACUCUUGAAUCCUGCGAGAUGCAUUUAUUGAUCCAUGCACUCGCGCAAGCGGCUCUCUGCAGUAUCGCGCUAUCUGUCGACGACUCGUCGAAGCUCGAGAAGAAAGUUUGACAGCUCGACCGAUAAAACGAUCCGCACGUGAUCCCAACAAUCGACAAUUUCGCGUAUGGACGUUCUCAACUUUUAACCCAUUAGUUCCCGACUUUUCCUUUAAUUUAUAAAAAAAAGUUGAGAUGUUUUGAAAAAAUACACAAAAAGACACAAGAAAAAGAUAGAAAGAUAUAAGCAAGAUGGUGGAAGGGAAUGGAUUAAUCGAUUCGCGAAAAUGAUUCUUCCACAAAUAUUAAAAAUGCAAUUUCUUCGAGAAAUUUUCUGUGUGAAGUUUAUUGAGGAAAAAAGAAAAAUGCACAAGCGAAACGCGAUUCUAGCCAAAGAUCCAAGAUAAAUUGUAGAUUACAUAAAUGCGGAAAUGAGCAAAGCAUUCUCACGAUGCUUGCGACAGAUACGAAAUAGAUUAUAGAUCAUCGUAGAAAUGUACAGAAACAAGUAGCAUAUCCCCCGAGACACAAUGUCCCUCGCACACGAAAAAUAACAUCUCGCUCUUACAGCGCGUCGUUAGAAAAGAUAUAUCUCAAGGCUGAAAAAAAGCGUAACGCUCUCGAAUUUUUUCAUUAUUCUUUCAGUAUUUUUAAUUCUGCAUUCUGCCGUAAACUUUUACGAUUCUACGUUAUUGACGGCGGUAGAUCGUGAUGGCCCAAGCGGAAAACACUGCUGGCAGUCGCGCGGUGCGCGACGAUUAUGCAAUGCAGCAACUUGGCACUCUAAAUCCGGCGGGUACACGCAAAGCUACAAAUUGAGAUCGUAAACAACACACGGGGCUCCUACUGGCCACGGACACGCCAAUUUAUUUCUGGACAGACGCGCCCCUUCCCACCUAGAGAUCGCGUCCCGUUGCACUUGAAUGAAGUGCACAAUUCUAUCACCCGGGUCGUGACAUUGUAAAAUAAAAGAGCAAAAGAGCCGCGAAUCUCACGCGAGUAAAUCUCUCCUUCGAAAGGCUAAGAAUUUUCAUUGAUUUGGUCGAAUCAAAUACAUAAUCAUACUAUUAUCAUAAUAUUAGACCGCUGAACAAAUUGAAAAUUCUGCUGCAACUUCUAACUGUAAUCGUAAGGUCAAGGCCACCCCUCGUGCGUAAAGCUAGAAAUGAGUCGUUAUGAAUUAUUUGGAGACUUUAUAGUCCGACAAUCUCGCACAAUCACCAACAUUAUUCGAAAUAAUGCAUAUGCCUAUCCGUCCUAUCAUCAAUAAUACUGAGAUAUGAUAGAAACUGAUAACUUAAUAGAAUUAUUAAAUUUACCGAUCAGUUACUCUGAUCAACAAUCGUAAUUUCGAUAUCAUUCUGCUGACACGAAAAAAUUGUAAUCACUGACACUCCCAACUCGAAACUCUUUGUUCUUUUCCAUUACGUCAUAAAACAUCUGUUGAACGUCCCGUUUAUAAUCCGGCAGGUGCAAAAGUGAAAUGCUUUGAAUUUUUAAUCGGUAAUUAAUCGCACGACCCAAUUAAAAAACUUGCAAAUUAAAAAAAUGAACUAUAACUUGAAGAUUUGACAUGUGAAUAUAUUCCAUGUAUGUUGUUUUGCCGCGGAACUAAAAAUAAACGCGAUAAAUGGUCACCGCGUUUAUUAUUAGUUACAUCUAAUUUUACCGGGCCAGGAUAAUAUCGUCGACCCCCGAAUAAUCUCGUCGACAGGUGUUUGCCCUUACGUUAUCUUGUCGCGUGCGUUACAUCAGCGGGAAGAUAUUAAAAAUGCACUCGUUACGCGCCACGUAAAAAUUAUAAAUAAACGUCUCAACGUUAACAUAUUUACACCUACAUGUGCUACAUUACGCUAUAAAUAAAUCCCAUUAUAAUGCUUGAGAUAUUAUGAGCAAAAUCCGAUUCGAUAAACAAUUUAAAUGUAUAUUAAACAUAUACAUAAUCAUUAAGCAACAAUAAAUACUUUAUAUAAAAUAUCUCGA